GUGGGGAAUAUUGGACAAUGGGCGAAAGCCUGAUCCAGCAAUACCGCGUGAGUGAUGAAGGCCUUAGGGUUGUAAAGCUCUUUUACCCGGGAAGAUAAUGACUGUACCGGGAGAAUAAGCCCCGGCUAACUCCGUGCCAGCAGCCGCGGUAAUACGGAGGGGGCUAGCGUUGUUCGGAAUUACUGGGCGUAAAGCGCACGUAGGCGGUUUUGUAAGUUAGCGGUGAAAGCCUGGGGCUCAACCCCAGAAUUGCCUUUAAGACUGCAUCACUUGAACGUCGGAGAGGUGAGUGGAAUUCCGAGUGUAGAGGUGAAAUUCGUAGAUAUUCGGAAGAACACCAGUGGCGAAGGCGGCUCACUGGACGACUGUUGACGCUGAGGUGCGAAAGCGUGGGGAGCAAACAGGAUUAGAAACCCGAGUAGUCC
rnacentral:rRNA from 1 species